rnacentral:rRNA from 1 species
AUUGAACGCUGGCGGCAUGCCUUACACAUGCAAGUCGAACGGCAGCAUGGAGGAGCUUGCUCCUCUGAUGGCGAGUGGCGAACGGGUGAGUAAAGCAUCGGAACGUACCGUGUAGUGGGGGAUAACGUAGCGAAAGUUACGCUAAUACCGCAUACGCACUGAGGUGGAAAGCAGGGGAUCGCAAGACCUUGCGCUAUACGAGCGGCCGAUGUCAGAUUAGGCUAGUUGGUAGGGUAAAGGCCUACCAAGGCGACGGAUCUGUAGCGGGUCCUGAGAGGAUGAUCCGCCACACUGGGACUGAGACACGGCCCAGACUCCUACGGGAGGCAGCAGUGGGGAAUUUUGGACAAUGGGGGGAAACCCUGAUCCAGCCAUGCCGCGUGAGUGAAGAAGGCCUCGGUUGUAAGG